CGGUGGAAUUCUGUACCAAUAGAAUUGGCACUAGAGGAAGGGCACUGUGUCUUCGCAGGACCUUUGUUCUUAAAAGAGUACUCAAUGGGACUAUUUUCGAUCAUCUUCUUCGAUAUUUUCUUCCUCUUCUCCUACCAGAUCCCCACCUGAUGCCUCCCCGAAAGGCAUCCACUAGGCAAUCUACGGCCUCUGUGGCCAG
rnacentral:lncRNA from 1 species